rnacentral:lncRNA from 1 species
UCGAGGUCGUGCAGCUCCCUAACUAGGUCUACGUUCAGAGUGAUCAGGUUAUGGAGGAUGUGAAUCAAAGGUUUGGGACAGUUGGGUAGAACUUAUUGAGUGGAGGAUAAGGAUUCACAUAUUUAUGCAAAGGUUUGGGACAGUUGGGUAGAACUUAUUGAGUGGAGGAUAAGGAUUCACAUAUUUAGUUUUGCUUUAAUAGAAGUAUUGUGUUGAAAAGUAUCUUUUACUCUUUGGAGCAAAAUUUAGGAUGCCAAAACCAUUGAUGACAAAAUUCUGUGAAUCUUAAAUGUUAGUACAAUUUAUUCACACCCUCCAUGACUUGCUUACUCUGAAUGUAAACCUAGUUAGGGAGCUGCACGACCUCGAU